UUUGAGGUUCUUGGUGCUGGUUCCCCAGGUUCCCCAGGUUCCCCUUCCUCUAAAGCCAGUUGGAUUCUCCCACUUCCUGUUUGACAGCCUGUACCUUCACCUGGGAGCACCUGCAACAAACUUCUAGGAUCGUAAAUCCGUGUCUGAUGGAGCCCGAGUUUCAGCGAGUUAAUUUUGAGUUUUUGGAGGAAUUGAGAUGCCUACAAUCGUCAAAUCUGCCAGAACCAGAUGGACAGAAGUUUUUAAAAAAGUCUCCCCAGGGACCAGCUGUGGUUUUGGGCCACGCUACUGCCACAGUCCCUGGCUCUGUAAUCCCUGCAGGGCCCAGAGCUCUGAGAAACACGGCAAGAGGCUUCUCCCAGACCAACCAGGCUGUCAUUAAAUCACUGAUCUGUUCAUUAGAGGCCACCAGCAGAGCAGAAUCAGCUCAGAUUGAACUCCGGUUUAAGUAUCGGAGCAGCCGGACGUCGUUAUGCUGCAUCUGUGAAACUCGAUUAAAGAAGACGACAAACACUCUGUGUUCGUCUUCUAUCGUUCUGGGUCGGGGGACAGAGGAACACCGUAAACAAUCCCACGACCUCAUUUGGACCCCCGAGCCAUAUUUCUAGAAAGUCGGGCCCUAGGGGGACAGAAGCAGCGGCAUCAGGGGCCAGUGAUACCUGUUGGCCCCUCCCCUCUCUUCCUGAUUGACAGAUGGCUGCUCCAUUAGAUGAGAAUGAUAAGUGGCUCUCCUUCAGCAGAAAGGACUUCCUCUUGACCUCUGACCCCUGACCCUGACUCUUGACCCUCCUCCCUCCCUCACACCACCCACCCCCCUCUCCAGGCCCGUGUGCAGGUCUCUCGGCCGUCCACAGGUGCAGCCUGCAUGUCAGGGCUAAGUGAUGUGGAGAGUAGCUUUUGUUCCUCUGAAGGAGGAAUCUGUCGAGGAGAGAAGAGCAGAAAGAAGACGGAUGAGAGAGAGAAUGAAGAGGUGGAGAGUCUGUUGUUGUGCUGUCUUCAGAGAGAAAUGGAGGAUGAGACAGAUAAAGAGAGAGGGAGAGAGAAGAGGAUGGAAAAGUGAAAGAAGAAAGGAAGUUUAGUUCUUGUUUUGUUUAGUCAACAAUCAUUUGAGUGUACCUCCUGUUAAAAAGACAAAUAUAUACUAAAUGACAUUUAGUCAAGUGCUGUAUUUAACUCCAGCUUUGAGGUACUUGUACUUUCUAUUUGCUGCUGCGUUAUACUUCUACUCCACUACAUUUUAGAGGCAAAUAUUCUAGAUGAACAGGAAAAACUGGUGGCAAAGAGAGUCAUGUUAUGUCAUAUUACUGGAUAAUUAUUACACAUGCACUGAUGUUUAUGUAACAUUUUAUUGUUGCAGCUGGAUAGUUCGAGCUACUUUAGACACAGUUUUAC